rnacentral:rRNA from 1 species
GACGUAGGGGGCGAGCGUUGUCCGGAAUCACUGGGCGUAAAGAGCUCGUAGGCGGGGUUGCACGUCUUGGUGUAAAUCCAUCUGCUUAACGGAUGGGUCGUCUGAGAUACGGCAGCUCUUGAGGACAGAAGAGGAAAGCAGAAUUCCGGGUGUAGCGGUGAAAUGCGUAGAUAUCCGGAGGAAUACCAGUGGCGAAGGCGGCUUUCUGGUCUGAUUCUGACGCUGAGGAGCGAAAGCCAGGGGAGCGAACGGG